CGGUGAUUAGCUCAGCUGGGAGAGCACCUCCCUUACAAGGAGGGGGUCGGCGGUUCGAUCCCGUCAUCACCCACCA
rnacentral:tRNA from 1 species